CUCCGGUUGAUCCCGCCGGACCCGACUGCUAUCAGAGUGGGACUAAGCCAUGCGAGUCGACGUAGCAAUGCGUGGCGAACGGCUCAGUAACACGUAGUCAACAUGCCCAGGGGACGUGGAUAACCUCGGGAAACUGAGAAUAAACCACGAUAGGUCACGAUUUCUGGAAUGGAUCAUGGCCUAAAUCUACAUGGCCCCUGGAUUGGACUGCGGCCGAUCAGGCUGUUGGUGAGGUAAUGGCCCACCAAACCUAUAACCGGUACGGGCUCUGAGAGGAGAAGCCCGGAGAUGGGCACUGAGACAAGGGCCCAGGCCCUAUGGGGCGCAGCAGGCGCGAAACCUCUGCAAUAGGCGAAAGCCUGACAGGGUUACUCUGAGUGAUUUCCGCUAAGGGGAUCUUUUGGCACCGCUAAAAAUGGUGCAGAAUAAGGGGUGGGCAAGUCUGGUGUCAGCCGCCGCGGUAAUACCAGCACCCCGAGUGGUCGGGACGAUUAUUGGGCCUAAAGCAUCCGUAGCCGGUUCUGCAAGUCUUCCGUUAAAUCCAGCCGCCCAACGGAUGGGCCGCGGAGGAUACUACAGGACUAGGAGGCGGGAGAGGCAAGCGGUACUCAGUGGGUAGGGGUAAAAUCCUUUGAUCCAUUGAAGACCACCAGUGGCGAAGGCGGCUUGCCAGAACGCGCUCGACGGUGAGGGAUGAAAGCUGGGGGAGCAAACCGGAUUAGAUACCCGGGUAGUCCCAGCUGUAAACGAUGCAGACUCGGUGAUGGGCUAGCCUUGUGCCAGCCCAGUGCCGCAGGGAAGCCGUUAAGUCUGCCGCCUGGGGAGUACGGUCGCAAGACUGAAACCUAAAGGGAUUGGCGGGGGAGCA
rnacentral:rRNA from 1 species